AUAGGGGAGCCGAAGGGAAACCGAGUCUUAACCGGGCGUUAAGUUGCAGGGUAUAGACCCGAAACCCGGUGAUCUAGCCAUGGGCAGGUUGAAGGUUGGGUAACACUAACUGGAGGACCGAACCGACUAAUGUUGAAAAAUUAGCGGAUGACUUGUGGCUGGGGGUGAAAGGCCAAUCAAACCGGGAGAUAGCUGGUUCUCCCCGAAAGCUAUUUAGGUAGCGCCUCGUGAAUUCAUCUCCGGGGGUAGAGCACUGUUUCGGCAAGGGGGUCAUCCCGACUUACCAACCCGAUGCAAACUGCGAAUACCGGAGAAUGUUAUCACGGGAGACACACGGCGGGUGCUAACGUCCGUCGUGAAGAGGGAAACAACCCAGACCGCCAGCUAAGGUCCCAAAGUCAUGGUUAAGUGGGAAACGAUGUGGGAAGGCCCAGACAGCCAGGAUGUUGGCUUAGAAGCAGCCAUCAUUUAAAGAAAGCGUAAUAGCUCACUGGUCGAGUCGGCCUGCGCGGAAGAUGUAACGGGGCUAAACCAUGCACCGAAGCUGCGGCAGCGACACUGUGUGUUGUUGGGUAGGGGAGCGU
rnacentral:rRNA from 1 species